AGCGAACGCUGGCGGCAGGCUUAACACAUGCAAGUCGAGCGGGCACUUCCGGGUUUCUGCGGCUCACGGGUGUGUAACGCGUGGGAACGUGCCCUCUUUUUCGGAAUAACUCAGUGAAACUUGAUCUAAUACCGUAUUCUCCCCUUUCGGGAAAUGCUUCCUGCCGGAGGAUGGGCCCGCUUCUGAUUAGCUUGUUGGUUAGGUAACCGGUCACCAAGGCGACUAUAAUUAGCUGGUCUGAGAGGAUGAUCAGCCACACUGGGACUGAGACACGGCCCAGACUACUACGGGAGGCAGCAGUGGGGAAUAUUGGACAAUGGGCGAAAGCCUGAUCCAGCAAUGCCGCGUGAGUGAUGAAGGCCUGAGGGUUGUAAAGCUCUUUUAUCCGGGACGAUAAUGACGGUACCGGAAGAAUAAGCCCCGGCUAACUUCGUG
rnacentral:rRNA from 1 species